GGAAGUAAAAGUCGUAACAAGGCGUCAUAACAAGGUUUCCGUAGGUGAACCUGCGGAAGGAUCAUUA
rnacentral:rRNA from 1 species